rnacentral:rRNA from 1 species
GAUCCUGGCUCAGGACGAACGCUGGCGGCGUGCCUAACACAUGCAAGUCGAACGGAGUCGGCCCCGCAAGGGACUGACUUAGUGGCGAACGGGUGAGUAACGCGUGAGUAACCUGCCUUUCAGUGGGGGACAACAGUUGGAAACGACUGCUAAUACCGCAUGAAGCAUAAUGAUCGCAUGGUCGAUAUGCCAAAGAUUUAUUGCUGAAAGAUGGGCUCGCGUCUGAUUAGA